rnacentral:rRNA from 1 species
AGGACGAACGCUGGCGGCGUGCCUAACACAUGCAAGUGGAGUGACGAACCAGGCUUCGGCCUGGGGCAAAGCCGCGAACGGGUGAGUAACACGUGGGUAACCUGCCCCGAUGAUUGGGACAACCCGAGGAAACUCGGGCUAAUACCGAAUGUGCCCUCCGACCAUAAGGUCGCUGGGGAAAGGAAGCUUCGGCCUUCGCAUCGGGAUGGGCCCGCGGCCCAUUAGCUUGUUGGUGAGGUAACGGCUCACCAAGGCAACGAUGGGUAGCUGGUCUGAGAGGGCGACCGGCCACACUGGGACUGAGACACGGCCCAGACUCCUACGGGAGGCAGCAGUGGGGAAUAUUGCACAAUGGGGGAAACCCUGAUGCAGCGACGCCGCGUGCGGGAUGAAGGCCUUCGGGUUGUAAACCGCUUUCAGCAGGGGCGAAUUCAGACGGUACCUGCAGAAGAAGCGCCGGCUAACUACGCGCCAGCAGCCGCGGUA